AAGAAGAAGAGUGAUUUACAGUUAGAAACAGAGGAAUUUCAGCACACAGUAGUUGACUACUAGUAGAAAGGCAACUCUGCAACAAAUCUCUCUGUCUGAGCAGCAAUAAUUGCCUUCAUGUUGUACACUUCUAUAUCAUUGUAAGCUUAGCUAGCUAGCUAGCUCAUAUCCAUCACUUAACUGCCAUUGCAAGUCUUUUCUUUGUACUAUACACAAUCAUCCACUUACAUUCUUGAUACAAACCAUCAACCGUGGCCACUUCAACUCCUAGUACCCUCACCACCUCCAAAACAUGGCCACCACCGCCACAUCCAGUCACCACCACUACCUUCCCACCUGAUCAUACAAACAUGUUAGGCCUUCACAACAUACUCUUUAUAGCUCCACCACCUUCUCCUUUUCACCACCACCAGCCUCCACACAUUCCCUCUACUCACCAAAUAGCCAACACCAAUGAUCAAUGUAACAUUGCAAACAAUCAAGAAUCUUGGACCACUCUCAAUAAAUACCAGCAAAAAUCUAGUUUUCUUAAAAGGGGUGAUUUAAAUGUUGUUGGGGAUAAUGAUACUGGAAGGAAUAUUGGUCCUGCAAGAGCUUGCAGGGACUGUGGAAACAGGGCAAAGAAAGAGUGUCAGUAUAGGAGGUGCAGGACUUGUUGCAAGAGUAGAGAGUAUGAUUGUACCACUCACAUGAAGAGCACAUGGGUGUCUGCUGCAAGGAGGCGAGAGAGGCUUGGUUGUGGCGGUGGUGGUGGUGGUGACUCUUCUGCUUCUUCUGGUGGUGGCUGUGUUGGUGGUAAAAGGCCAAGAGAAAAUGUGACCGCUACAUCUAAUAGUUUUAGUACUUCUAAUAACAAUGCUGCUGCUUCUGUCAACUUCGAUACAGGCUCUAGUUAUCAGGAUGCAAGCUUCAAACUGUCUUUACCUGGCCAAGUUCGUGAACCGGCAGUUUUCAGGUGCGUUAGAGUAACAGCCAUUAAUAGUGGUGAAGCUGAGGUUGCCUAUCAAGCUAAGGUGAAUAUAAGUGGCCAUGUUUUCAAGGGCAUUCUUUAUGAUCAAGGGAUCGACGAGAAAAACCUGUUUCCAUGUGUUUCAAAAAUGCAGUCUGGUGAAAGGACUAGAGACUCCACCUCGCCAAUUGUUGAACCAUCCGUUGCCUACGCAGCCACAGGGAACCACAGAUUGCUUGAAGGUUAUGCUUUUCCUUUUUGAUGGAGUGGAAGGAUACUUUCCUAGUUAUAAGAUCUAGCCUCGUCUGAUACGUGUUUUGUCAACCCGGGUACUGGCCUAGCCUGGUAAUGGAUGAGAUCCACUGCUGUGUGGUUUGGCUUCAAGGCAUGCAGAAGGUGUGAAUCCACCUCUUCUCUUAAAUUGUAUGUACUGGAAAGGGAUUUCAUAGUUUUUCCUAGUUUUGCUUCUGAGGUGAAACUCCUUUGGCUGUUCUUAAUGCCUUGUUCAGUUCGAAUUUUCCCUCUCUUUAAUGGUGGACAAAGAAAAAUUCUUGGAAGAA